rnacentral:rRNA from 1 species
AGCUUCCCAUGGGCGGAGAAGCCGGAGGGCGACCGACGGUGGAGCGCAUGGGAGUGAGAAUGCUGGCAUGAGUAGCGAGAGACGAGAGAGUAACUCGUCCGCCGUGAACCCGAGGUUUCCUGGGCAAGGCUAAUCCUCCCAGGGUCAGUCGGGGGCUAAGGCGAGGCCGGGAGGCGUAGCCGACGCGCAGCAGGCAGACAUUCCUGCACCGCGCACGCGGCGCUACGACCGACGGGGCGACGGAUGGGGGUGGCUCGGCGGGGUUCUGGACGUCCCCGUGAUGGAGCGCGGCCCGCGGACCAGGGAAAUCCGGUCCGCACGAGGGCGAGGCUCCGGACGAAGCACUUAAGCGAAGCGAGUGAGCCCGAGGUCCCUAGAAAAACCCCUAGGCAGGCGCGUGCGCGCCCGUACCGCAAACCGACACAGGUGGGUGGGUAGAACAUACCGAGGCGAUCGGGUCAACCAUGGUCAAGGAACUCGGCACAAUGGCCCCGUAACUUCGGGAGAAGGGGUGCCCGCGCGUACGUGAACCGGCUCGCCCGGGGAGCGGAGGCGGGCCGCAGUGGAGAGGCCCAAGCGACUGUUUACCAAAAACACAGGACUCUGCAGAAGCCGCAAGGCGACGUAUAGGGUCUGACGCCUGCCCGGUGCCGGAAGGUCACGCGGAGGAGUUAGCCGAUUCGGCGAAGCCCCGAAGCCAAGCCCCGGUAAACGGCGGCCGUAACUAUAACGGUCCUAAGGUAGCGAAAUUCCUUGUCGGGUAAGUUCCGACCUGCACGAAAGGCGCAACGACUUGGGCGCUGUCUCGACCAUGGACCCGGUGAAAUUGCACUGGUCGUGAAGAUGCGACUUACCCGCGGAAGGACGGAAAGACCCCGUGAACCUUCACUGCAGCUUGGCAUUGGCCGCUGGUCCCGCGUGUAGAGGAUAGGCAGGAGGCACAGAUCCGGAGGCGCCAGCCCCCGGGGAGCCGCCCUUGGAAUACUGCCCUCGCGCGACCGGCGUCCUAACCCGAGGCCGUCAACCGGCUCGGGGACCGUGCCAGGCGGGCAGUUUGACUGGGGCGGUCGCCUCCUAAAGGGUAACGGAGGCGCGCGAAGGUCCGCUCGGGACGGUCGGCAACCGUCCUUUUGAAUGCAAGAGUACAAGCGGGCUUGACUGCGAGGCCCACAAGCCGAGCAGGUGCGAAAGCAGGCUCUAGUGAUCCGGCGGCCCCGAGUGGGUGGGCCGUCGCUCAACGGAUAAAAGGUACUCCGGGGAUAACAGGCUGAUCUUGCCCAAGAGUCCACAUCGACGGCAAGGUUUGGCACCUCGAUGUCGGCUCAUCGCAUCCU